UAUUGGUCCCUCCGCAAUGAUACAUUGUGAACUCCGCCAGGCCCGGAAGGGAGCAACGGUAGCAGUGAACUCAUGUGCCGGGGUGUGGCUGGUAGGA
rnacentral:SRP_RNA from 1 species